GUGCUCGUUGCGGCAGCACAGAUACUAAAAUUGAAACGAUGCAGAGAAGAGUAGGAUGACAGGCGAGUUUGUGAAGCGUUCCACAUUUUA
rnacentral:snRNA from 1 species